rnacentral:rRNA from 1 species
UACGUAGGAUCCGAGCGUUGUCCGGAUUUACUGGGUGUAAAGGGUGCGCAGGCGGACUGGUAAGUCAGAGGUGAAAUCUCGGCGCUCAACGCCGAAACUGCCUUUGAUACUAUCAGUCUUGAAUACGGUAGAGAUUCGUGGAAUUCCGAGUGUAGCAGUGAAAUGUGUAGAUAUUCGGAAGAACACCAGUGGCGAAGGCAGCGAAUUGGGCCGUUAUUGACGCUCAGGCACGAAAGCAUGGGGAUCAAACAGG